CGGACGGGUGAGUAACACGUGGAUAACCUACCUAUAAGACUGGGAUAACUUCGGGAAACCGGAGCUAAUACCGGAUAACAUGUUGAACCGCAUGGUUCAACAGUGAAAGACGGUCUUGCUGUCACUUAUAGAUGGAUCCGCGCCGCAUUAGCUAGUUGGUAAGGUAACGGCUUACCAAGGCAACGAUGCAUAGCCGACCUGAGAGGGUGAUCGGCCACACUGGAACUGAGACACGGUCCAG
rnacentral:rRNA from 1 species